rnacentral:tRNA from 1 species
GUAGAUGUAGUUCAAAAAGAACAUUAGAUUGUGAUUCUAAAAACAAAGGUUAAAAUCCUUUUAUCCACC